CCGGCGACCGGCGCACGGGUGAGUAACGCGUAUGCAACCUGCCCGGUUUCAGCGGGAUAACCCGGAGAAAUCCGGCCUAAUACCGCAUGUGGCCGAGGGGAGGCAUCUUCUUUCGGCCAAAGGAGGCGACUCCGGAGACGGAUGGGCAUGCGUGACAUUAGCUAGUUGGCGGGGUAACGGCCCACCAAGGCGACGAUGUCUAGGGGUUCUGAGAGGAAGGUCCCCCACACUGGUACUGAGACACGGACCAGACUCCUACGGGAGGCAGCAG
rnacentral:rRNA from 1 species